CAGUUUUUCAUUCUGCCCAGUUCGAUCGGCAACGGGAGCGGAAAGAGGAAAGCAGAGAGCCCCAAGGCAGUAGCCCCCACCACCGCCGGCCCAGGUUACCAUCUAGCACCGGGAAACAUAGCAGAGAGCCGCCGCCGGCAGAAGCCAUUACCAACUAGUAGUAACCAUGAGCAGCGAGGCCGAGACACAACAACCGCCGCAGCCUGCUGCCGAUGAGGAGAGACCAUCGAGCCCGGCAGCCGCAGCUUCCGCGGGGGAUAAGAAGGUCAUCGCAACAAAAGUCUUGGGUACAGUCAAAUGGUUCAACGUCAGGAAUGGAUAUGGUUUCAUCAAUAGGAAUGAUACAAAAGAGGACGUUUUUGUACACCAGACAGCCAUCAAGAAAAACAACCCGAGAAAAUACCUUCGCAGUGUUGGAGAUGGAGAAACUGUGGAGUUUGAUGUAGUAGAGGGGGAGAAGGGAGCAGAGGCGGCAAACGUCACUGGCCCAGGAGGUGUUGCAGUCCAGGGGAGUAAGUACGCCGCUGAUAGGAACCGCUACAGGCGCUAUCCCCGGAGAAGGGGCCCUCCCCGUGGUGGAGACUAUCCAGAAAACUACCAGAGUGAUGGAGAGGGUGAGCCAGGCAGUGGAGGCAGUGGAGGCCGUGACAAAGGCAGCCGUGAUGGGGGAGAGAGCGCCCCAGAAGGAGACUCACAGCAACCGCAGCGCAGGCCCGCUUACCCCGGCAGACGGCGUUACCCGCCAUACUUUGUACGUAGACGCUACGGCCGACGGCCCCCAUACACCAACGCACCACGUGGAGAGAUGACUGAGGGAGGUGAGGGUGACGAGAACCAGGGAGGUCCAGACCAGGGCAACAAACCAGUGAGGCAGAACUACUACAGAGGCUUCCGACCAAGGUUCAGACCAAGGGGUCCACCCCGUCCCAGACCGGUGCGGGACGGCGAGGAGGACAAGGAGAAUCAGGGCGGCGAAGGUGGUGAGAACCAACAGCCCCGCCAGCGGCGCUACCGCCGCAACUUCAACUAUCGCCGCAGACGCCAACAGACUGGUGGCAAACCCGGCCCGGAAAACAAGGAGCCCAAGACAGGAGGUGACACAUCUGCAGAGAAAACGUCCGCUCCCGAGGCCCAGCAGGGUGGGGCUGAGUAGGAAACAACCUGCCCUCCGGCACCUACCAUCUUUUACCAUCGUCCGGGUUAGUAAAUAGUCGAUACUGGUCUUUCCUAAUCAUUUCCUUCAAAAUAAUCCUUCCUAGCUUUUUCAUUUUUAGGCUCUGUGGUAGAUAAUACUAAGUUUGAGGUAAUGCAGGACUUAAUAAAUCAAAUUCAUCCCAGAGAGCCUGGUCACUAUUUUCCAUUUCCAUAACAGCUGCAGCUUUGGUUUUAAGAUUCUUUUUCUACUAUGAUGUUUACAGAUUAUUAAUUGACUGUUUUGUGUUCCUUUACAGUUUAUUUGUCAACAAGAAGAAACAUCAAACAAGAUCUGAGCAAUAAAGAUUUGACUUGACGAUCGUCACAAGCUUGCA